CUUUUAGUUUGGAUAAUAAAAGCUAGCAGUGAAAGUCAAGAUUUGGUUUUGUUUUUGAAAAAGUGCAGUGGUUAUUACUUUAGAAAAUGAUAUCAAAGAUUUUAAUUUUGUCAUUUGUUUAAGCUUAACAUUAUCAAAUGAAUCUGAGAAAGUCAGCCAAUGUACUAAUUAUCAUGGUCUAAAACUAAAAGCUGGAGAAACUAAACCUGUCCCGGGAACAUGUAAUAUAGCAACUUGCAAGGACAAUGGAAGUAUUUUCGUUAAAACUUGUGCAGAAUUUGACGUCUUACCACCUUGAAAAAUAGUAGAUGGAGAUACAACAAAGCUCUAUCCAGACUGCUGUCCAAAAUCUUGGUGUCCAGGUGAUAAUUAAUAAUUUCUGAACAUGCUCAAAUUGUUUGUUAUAAAUAAAUAAAUUACUAAUUGUAUGUU